rnacentral:rRNA from 1 species
UACGUAGGGUGCAAGCGUUGUCCGGAAUUAUUGGGCGUAAAGAGCUCGUAGGCGGCUUUGCAAGUGACGGGUGAAAUCCCACGGCUUAACCGUGGAACUGCCUGUCAGACUGCAUGGCUUGAGACCAGGAGAGGUGAGUGGAAUUCCCAGUGUAGCGGUGAAAUGCGUAGAUAUUGGGAGGAACACCAGUGGCGAAGGCGGCUCACUGGACUGGUACUGACGCUGAGGCGCGAAAGCGUGGGGAGCAAACAGG